rnacentral:lncRNA from 7 species
GCUCCAGGCAGAAUCUUCACUCAUCUUGCACAAAAAUCAGAAGAUUUGUGAAGGAUCCUCUGUACUGGGCCUUCUCAGAUCCAGUUGUCAGACUGGGGAUGUGGUUAGUAACAACUGCGUCAGAGAUGGCAGAAUUUGAUGUCUGAUUUCCCCCAGCAACAUAACCAACACAAGGCAACAAUCAUACUCCCCAGUGUGUGCAGUAGACUGAUAUGGAAAAGUUGCUAUACAUUUAGCAUACAAUUGCAUGCUGUUGAGACCUGUUCCAGCUUUCUGUACUUGUAUGAAGGAUGUCAUUGGCUUCAGUUGCCUGUCAGGGCAUGUGGUAAAGUGUCAUGAAGGGUCAUGGAAACCAUUAUUACGUGCAAUGAAGUGGAAAACCAGAGGUCUUUUGGGGGCCCUUCAAAUGUCCCUGAUUGUCAGAAGGGCACCUGCCAAUUUUACUUGAGGUGUAACAGAUUAUAGAGGGGAAACCAGUAGAAUUGUCACAGGAAAGUAAAGAUGCUGCAACAAGUUCUGCAAUCCAGAAGAUAUGAAGUGAAAAAUAUUAUUACACCUUGUAUUAAGCUAUUGUUACUGUUAGAUGUUCAGAAAUGAACUGGUACUGUAUAAAAAGAUUAAGUUACUUCAUGCAUAAAAAAAGAUUAAACUGCUUUAUAAGGUUUUAUGAUACAAAGUUAUUGCAGCCAUCUGAGUUGGGAAAGGGAUGCUCUUGAUAUAAUAUAUAAUUCUGUAGACUCGCCAGCGUGGUGUAAGGUUAAUUCAUUGUUCCACUAACAUAAAGCAGCUGACAACAGUCAUAUGUAAAUUCGUUGCCUAUUAAUGGGAAAUUAAUAUCUUUUCUGCACAUGUGUUGAUACUUAAAAGAUAACAGAGAUCUCGAUUUGUCUGCUCAGGAAAGAACAAUAGGGAUUCUACUGUUUGAGUCUUGGAGUUGAUUAUGCACUAUAAUUUCCAGUCCAAUUGUUCGGUGCUACUAUUGAUUGCAAAACGGGUUAUUUUGUGUAGGAGUAAAUCUCUUUGACU